GAAUGCUGGCGUCUAAAUUUCAUGGUGAUGCAUCAACAAUGUCUUCAACCAACAUGGCAUCUCUUUCGUUGGCAAUCCUUUCCAGAAAACUACGGAGUGCGCACACACCGACACAGCCAUACAAACGGGCCAUGAGCGCAGCGUGGGGCCUCCCAGCCAGGAGCGCGAGCACAACAGAGAGAAAGAGGCAGCGAGAGCAUGAAAGCGGUGAGACGGGGACUCGGCGGGGAGCCGGAAACCUGGCGGGAGAGGGAGAAAAAAAAAGGCCACAAGAGAAGCAGAGCAGUGCGCUGCAAGACAGAGGGUCAAGCUGCUGUUAUGUCCGACUCCUGAGCCCUUCUCAGCGAGGGGGGGAAGAACGGCUGCAGCCGCUCUCAAGCCCGGCCAAGGAAACACUGGCGCAAUUAGCGGUGGAGUUUUAGAGAAAGGUCAGGAGGCCGAGGAGCUGUUUUGAUGAAAAUAAUUCAAACUAAAGUAAAUGUCAUACUUCUUAACCAGGUAUUCUGCAGGAUGGGACAAUGACUAAAAGCCCAUCCAGGUACUGUAAUUGAUUGUUAGAGCUGCAGUCACCUUGAAAGACCCUGAAAACUCCUUACGGCGAGCGAAUGGGCCCUACAUGAACACAAUUUUCUGCCAGAGUUGUGUUUCCUCGCUGGUUUGAAGAUGAUGUCACUUCUUUUUUGUGCACUAGUCAGUAUGAAGUGGCAUUUUGAUGAGAAUCGGAUGACAGUUGGAAUACACACACGAAAAGCAUUUCAGUUUUCAUUCCAGUGUCACCAUAUUCUUUUCUCUGUCUUCACUGUCCACACCUCACCCACCAAACCCCCGCCCUCCCCUCCUCACCUUCCAUCCCUCUCUGCUUUGUGCCCAGCAUCUGCGCCAAAGCAUCUCCAUCCACCGAGAGUUUGAAAAGGCAUCUUGAAAAGGCUUGGCUUGGCAGCCUAGGACGGGAAACAAAUUAGGAGUUCAUGACUUCAAACGCAGCCUCACCAAGGCAACCCCUUCUCCUCCGCCAAGGGUUUGCCUCGCUCGCUCUAAGACCGCCCGUGAGAGGAGUUUUAAUAAGCAGAAGCUCGAAUGUAAAAUCCUCUGGUGUAAUAAAGAAGGAUAG